UGCUAUCUGUUCUAGCUUGGUAAAGCCGGG
rnacentral:piRNA from 1 species